GGUUGGUCAGAAACAAUAUAAAUUAAAAGCUUUUGCAGAUGACCUGGUUUUGACCUUGCAGAAGCCAGAGCCUAGUACGAAAAGAGUAUUACAAUUGAUUAAUGAUUUUGGUCGGGUGGCGGGAUUUAAAUUAAACAAACAGAAAACUAAGGUUUUGGGGAAAAAUCUGACUGAGACAGAGUCAGAACGGUUUCAGAAUGAGACGGAACUUAAUGUGGUUAAAAAGUAAAAUACCUAGGGGUAAACAUAACAGCAAAAAAUCUAAGUCUAUUUAAGGAUAAUUAUGAAAAAUGUUGGACAGAAAUUAAGAGAGACUUAGACAGUUGGUCAAAAUUGAAACUUUCUUUGUUAGGCCGAAUUGCUGCGAUUAAGAUGAAUGUAUUGCCAAGAAUGUUGUUUUUAUUUCAAACACUGCAGGUAUUGGACAAAAUGGGGUGCUUUCAGAAGUGGCAGAGAGACAUUUCGAAGUUUGUCUGGCAGGGCAAAAAGCCCAGAAUUAAGUUUAAGAUACUAACCGAUGCAAAACAAAGAGGGGGCUUUGCCCUGCCGGACUUAAAGUUGUACUAUGAAGCCGCAGCGUUCUGCUGGCUAAAAGACUGGCUACUUCUUGAAGACACUGAUGUGUUAGAUUUGGAGGGGUUUAACAAUGUUUUUGGAUGGCAUGCAUAUUUAUGGUAUGACAAAGUUAAAGCAAAUAAGGCCUUUAAGAACCAUAUUGUUAGAAAAUCACUGUUUAAUGUCUGGACAAAAUAUAAAGACUUGCUGGAAAAUAAAACACCAAGGUGGCUUUCACCUUUGGAAGCUAAGGCCCGAAAAAGACCCAAUAUGGAGGCCAAAUGGCCAAAAUAUUGGGAAAUACUAGAAAAGAUGGAGACAAUUGGAAAUUGCAGAGCUUGGAGAAAAUGAAAGACAAAGUGCGAGAUUGGUUACACUAUGCUCAGAUUAAAGAAGUUUUUAAAAGUGAUAAGAAACUAGGGUUCCAGGUGGAGAAAUCGAAAUUAGAAACAGAAUUGUUAGAACCAAAGACUAAGAUACUUUCAAGGAUGUAUAACUUGCUGUUGGAAUGGAAUACACAAGAUGAAAUGGUUAAAUCGGCUAUGAUAAGGUGGGCACAGGACAUUGGGUAUAAUAUUAUGUUUGAGGACUGGGAAAGGCUGUGGAGUAAUGGAUUGAAAUUUACUGCAUGUAAUGCUUUGAAAGAAAAUGUAAUGAAAAUGAUUUAUAGAUGGUAUAUGACCCCAGUCAAACUCGCAAAAAUUUACCACCUGUCUGAUAACAAGUGCUGGAAAUGCAAAGAGUGUGAAGGAACGUUCUUUCACCUCUGGUGGACAUGCCCUAAAGUGAAGGCGUUCUGGGAAAUGAUUUACAAUGAAUUGAAAAAGGUAUUUAAAUAUACUUUCACUAAGAAACCAGAGGCUUUCCUUUUGGGUAUUGUCAGCCAAGGGGUGGCAAAGAAGGACCAGACAUUUUUAUGUACGCAACAACAGCAGCAAGGAUACUACUUGCAAAACAUUGGAAAACCCAAGAUCUACCCACACUGGAAGAAUGGCAGAUGCAACUGAUAGACUAUAUGCAACUGGCUGAAAUGACUGGCAGAAUCCGUGACCUGGGAGAAGAGAGAAUCGAGGAGGAUUGGAAGAAAUUUAAGAACUACCUACAAAAACAUUGUGAUUUGAUUGAAUGCUGAAUAAGAUGCUGGACUAAAUAACUGAGCACCACUUAACUUAGAAAUUUUUAAGGAAACAAGAAAAAUUGUGAAAGUUUAACUCUUUAUGAGAACUUUAAGAUUAUGAAAUAUCGAAGAGAUAUAAGAAUUUAAAUAAGAUGAUAAAUUGCUGACAAAAUGUUAUAAUGAUGAAGGUGGGAGCGGGAGAUGUGAGGAAGUCCUAAGAAAAUGUGAAAAUAUGUUAAGACGAAUGCUAUAUUGUUUAUUACAUUUAUUCCUAUUGUAAAACCCAAUAAAUU